rnacentral:lncRNA from 1 species
CACAACUACCAUAUGAGUAUUGAUUUUAAUUAGUUCUGUCUAUUAAGAUUCCCCUUAGGUUCAGAAGCCAGACUGGUAAUUAACUGUUCAGCUUUCCUCUUGCUGACGGCAUUGUUAGGAUCAUCACAUUUUGGAGUUCUCAGUCCUGUGUACAAAGUCCAACUAUCUGAGGCCACCAUGCACUUAGGAUGUCCAGGCCACCUGGAGAGGCUACCAGAUAUGUGUAUGAAGAAGUUGUCUUGAAAGUGGAUCUUCCAGCCCAUGUUAUUCUAGCUACAGCUGUUUGAGUCUCCUUGUACAAGCCCCAGACAUCAUGGAAUGGAGAAGAGCUGAGCCACGGUGUCCUCUCCAAAUUCUCAAUCCACAAAACUCAUGAAAAUAAUAAAAUGAUUGUGUCUUUGUGCUACUAAAUUUAGGGAAAUUUGUUAUUCAGCAAAGAUGAUUAGAACAAGAGACCACAAUUUGACUAUCAUAUUUCAGAAAUGACACAGAUCCAGAGAGGUUAAAUAAAUCAUUUUAUUCAAAUGAAGA